rnacentral:rRNA from 1 species
GUAGGUGAACGUGCGGAAGGAUCAWUA